UACGUAGGGUGCGAGCGUUGAUCGGAAUUACUGGGCGUAAAGCGUGCGCAGGCGGCGCGUUAAGACAGGUGUGAAAGCCCCGAGCUUAACUUGGGAAUUGCGCUUGUGACUGGCGAGCUGGAGUGUGGCAGAGGGAGGUGGAAUUCCACGUGUAGCAGUGAAAUGCGUAGAGAUGUGGAGGAACACCGAUGGCGAAGGCAGCCUCCUGGGCCAGCACUGACGCUCAUGCACGAAAGCGUGGGGAGCAAACAGG
rnacentral:rRNA from 1 species